rnacentral:rRNA from 1 species
GGUUAAGCGACUAAGCGUACACGGUGGAUGCCCUGGCAGUCAGAGGCGAUGAAGGACGUGCUAAUCUGCGAUAAGCGUCGGUAAGGUGAUAUGAACCGUUAUAACCGGCGAUUUCCGAAUGGGGAAACCCAGUGUGUUUCGACACACUAUCAUUAACUGAAUCCAUAGGUUAAUGAGGCGAACCGGGGGAACUGAAACAUCUAAGUACCCCGAGGAAAAGAAAUCAACCGAGAUUCCCCCAGUAGCGGCGAGCGAACGGGGAGGGGAACUGAAACAUCUAAGUACCCCGAGGAAAAGAAAUCAACCGAGAUUCCCCAGUAGCGGCGAGCGAACGGGGAGCAGCCCAGAGCCUGAAUCAGUGUGUGUGUUAGUGGAAGCGUCUGGAAAGGCGCGCGAUACAGGGUGACAGCCCCGUACACAAAAAUGCACAUGCUGUGAGCUCGAUGAGUAGGGCGGGACACGUGGUAUCCUGUCUGAAUAUGGGGGGACCAUCCUCCAAGGCUAAAUACUCCUGACUGACCGAUAGUGAACCAGUACCGUGAGGGAAAGGCGAAAAGAACCCCGGCGAGGGGAGUGAAAAAGAACCUGAAACCGUGUACGUACAAGCAGUGGGAGCACGCUUCGGCGUGUGACUGCGUACCUUUUGUAUAAUGGGUCAGCGACUUAUAUUCUGUAGCAAGGUUAACCGAAUAGGGGAGCCGAAGGGAAACCGAGUCUUAACUGGGCGUUAAGUUGCAGGGUAUAGACCCGAAACCCGGUGAUCUAGCCAUGGGCAGGUUGAAGGUUGGGUAACACUAACUGGAGGACCGAACCGACUAAUGUUGAAAAAUUAGCGGAUGACUUGUGGCUGGGGGUGAAAGGCCAAUCAAACCGGGAGAUAGCUGGUUCUCCCCGAAAGCUAUUUAGGUAGCGCCUCGUGAAUUCAUCUCCGGGGGUAGAGCACUGUUUCGGCAAGGGGGUCAUCCCGACUUACCAACCCGAUGCAAACUGCGAAUACCGGAGAAUGUUAUCACGGGAGACACACGGCGGGUGCUAACGUCCGUCGUGAAGAGGGAAACAACCCAGACCGCCAGCUAAGGUCCCAAAGUCAUGGUUAAGUGGGAAACGAUGUGGGAAGGCCCAGACAGCCAGGAUGUUGGCUUAGAAGCAGCCAUCAUUUAAAGAAAGCGUAAUAGCUCACUGGUCGAGUCGGCCUGCGCGGAAGAUGUAACGGGGCUAAACCAUGCACCGAAGCUGCGGCAGCGACACUAUGUGUUGUUGGGUAGGGGAGCGUUCUGUAAGCCUGUGAAGGUGUGCUGUGAGGCAUGCUGGAGGUAUCAGAAGUGCGAAUGCUGACAUAAGUAACGAUAAAGCGGGUGAAAAGCCCGCUCGCCGGAAGACCAAGGGUUCCUGUCCAACGUUAAUCGGGGCAGGGUGAGUCGACCCCUAAGGCGAGGCCGAAAGGCGUAGUCGAUGGGAAACAGGUUAAUAUUCCUGUACUUGGUGUUACUGCGAAGGGGGGACGGAGAAGGCUAUGUUGGCCGGGCGACGGUUGUCCCGGUUUAAGCGUGUAGGCUGGUUUUCCAGGCAAAUCCGGAAAAUCAAGGCUGAGGCGUGAUGACGAGGCACUACGGUGCUGAAGCAACAAAUGCCCUGCUUCCAGGAAAAGCCUCUAAGCAUCAGGUAACAUCAAAUCGUACCCCAAACCGACACAGGUGGUCAGGUAGAGAAUACCAAGGCGCUUGAGAGAACUCGGGUGAAGGAACUAGGCAAAAUGGUGCCGUAACUUCGGGAGAAGGCACGCUGAUAUGUAGGUGAAGUCCCUCGCGGAUGGAGCUGAAAUCAGUCGAAGAUACCAGCUGGCUGCAACUGUUUAUUAAAAACACAGCACUGUGCAAACACGAAAGUGGACGUAUACGGUGUGACGCCUGCCCGGUGCCGGAAGGUUAAUUGAUGGGGUUAGCGCAAGCGAAGCUCUUGAUCGAAGCCCCGGUAAACGGCGGCCGUAACUAUAACGGUCCUAAGGUAGCGAAAUUCCUUGUCGGGUAAGUUCCGACCUGCACGAAUGGCGUAAUGAUGGCCAGGCUGUCUCCACCCGAGACUCAGUGAAAUUGAACUCGCUGUGAAGAUGCAGUGUACCCGCGGCAAGACGGAAAGACCCCGUGAACCUUUACUAUAGCUUGACACUGAACAUUGAGCCUUGAUGUGUAGGAUAGGUGGGAGGCUUAGAAGUGUGGACGCCAGUCUGCAUGGAGCCGACCUUGAAAUACCACCCUUUAAUGUUUGAUGUUCUAACGUGGACCCGUGAUCCGGGUUGCGGACAGUGUCUGGUGGGUAGUUUGACUGGGGCGGUCUCCUCCUAAAGAGUAACGGAGGAGCACGAAGGUUGGCUAAUCCUGGUCGGACAUCAGGAGGUUAGUGCAAUGGCAUAAGCCAGCUUGACUGCGAGCGUGACGGCGCGAGCAGGUGCGAAAGCAGGUCAUAGUGAUCCGGUGGUUCUGAAUGGAAGGGCCAUCGCUCAACGGAUAAAAGGUACUCCGGGGAUAACAGGCUGAUACCGCCCAAGAGUUCAUAUCGACGGCGGUGUUUGGCACCUCGAUGUCGGCUCAUCACAUCCUGGGGCUGAAGUAGGUCCCAAGGGUAUGGCUGUUCGCCAUUUAAAGUGGUACGCGAGCUGGGUUUAGAACGUCGUGAGACAGUUCGGUCCCUAUCUGCCGUGGGCGCUGGAGAACUGAGGGGGGCUGCUCCUAGUACGAGAGGACCGGAGUGGACGCAUCACUGGUGUUCGGGUUGUCAUGCCAAUGGCACUGCCCGGUAGCUAAAUGCGGAAGAGAUAAGUGCUGAAAGCAUCUAAGCACGAAACUUGCCCCGAGAUGAGUUCUCCCUGACCCUUUAAGGGUCCUGAAGGAACGUUGAAGACGACGACGUUGAUAGGCCGGGUGUGUAAGCGCAGCGAUGCGUUGAGCUAACCGGUACUAAUGAACCGUGAGGCUUAACCUU